rnacentral:lncRNA from 1 species
CUAAGGGGGUACUAGGCUAAAAUUCAGAGACAAAAGUGACUUGAAAGAAACUGUGGGAGUUGAAUUUACAAAAGAUUUCAUUCACUUCAACAACUAUAUAGUAAUUAUUUUCUCUUCUCCUUUCUCUUUUUCUUUUUCUUUUCUUUUUCAGAAGGAGUAUCUAUUGACAUGUAUUGAUAUCCUUCUAUUUUUUUUCAUUCAUUUUUUUCUUUUUCUUUUCUUUUUCUGUCAACUUCUGAAAUAUUACUAACAUAAUUAUUCAACCCCACACAACUCUAAACAAGACUCUUUCAACCCAUUUGAAUAGGGUGAUAACAUUGUUU